rnacentral:rRNA from 1 species
UGGGGAAUAUUGGACAAUGGGGGGAACCCUGAUCCAGCCAUGCCGCGUGUGUGAAGAAGGCCUUAUGGUUGUAAAGCACUUUAAGCGAGGAGGAGGGUACUGGUAUUAAUACUACCAGGUACUGGACGUUACUCGCAGAAUAAGCACCGGCUAACUCUGUGCCAGCAGCCGCGGUAAUACAGAGGGUGCGAGCGUUAAUCGGAUUUACUGGGCGUAAAGCGUGCGUAGGCGGCUAAUUGAGUCGGAUGUGAAAUCCCCGAGCUUAACUUGGGAAUUGCAUUCGAUACUGGUUAGCUAGAGUGUGGGAGAGGAUGGUAGAAUUCCAGGUGUAGCGCUGAAAUGCGUAGAGAUCUGGAGGAAUACCGAUGGCGAAGGCAGCCAUCUGGCCUAACACUGACGCUGAGGUACGAAAGCAUGGGGAGCAAACAGG